rnacentral:tRNA from 2 species
GGGCGAUUAGCUCAGUGGUAGAGCACUCGCUUCACACGCGAGGGGUCACUGGUUCGAACCCAGUAUCGCCCA